UUUCCGUAGGUGAACCUGCGGAAGGAUCAUUAUUGAAUGAAACACUUCUGGCUUUAUGCUGUUGUGCUGGCCCUUUGGGCAAUGUGCACACGGCUCUGGUCACUUGUUUCUUCUGUUCCACCUGUGCACUGCCUGUAGACACGCUGUGUCUAUGAUAUUUGUUAACACACAACAAUGUUAGUUGGCAUGUUAUAUAUAAUAAUAAAAUAUACAACUUUCAACAACGGAUCUCUUGGCUCUCGCAUUGAUAAGAACGCAGC
rnacentral:misc_RNA from 1 species